CAGCUGUGGCUGCACCCCUUCCCAGUCCAGACAUCGGAUUGAAGUGGGCAAAGGCCAUGUUUCACAAAACACCUUCGACCUCCGGCCACCCCAGGAGAGGCCCAGGGAAGCCUCACACCCCAGGCUCCUGACUUGCCCCAGAACGUCUGAGGACUUCAAAGCCACAGAAGGUCUGCGUGGCCCAGGACCCAGAGUCUCAGGGUGACCCUGGAGACUGAAGACAGUGCGAGCUCUGUGUGCAAGGACCCGUGGAUGAGGAAGUCACCAGCGCUUGGAGAAUGGAAGCUCCUUGCCAGAGGACUUGUAGCUAAUCGGGGGG